ACUUGUAGUUGAACACCUCACUAAAAUUACCUAUAUACCCCCAUUCUGCCCCAAAUACCCCCAGACAUUCGUUCUUCACACUCCCCUUCACAAUGUUCAUCAGCUGUGACCCUCUCCGAUCUCCGUCUAGACCUCCGAUCUCCGGCGCCGGCUACUGCUCCUUCUCCGAUCCGGAGAAGAAACAUAAAUAUUACAGGUGAAGAGGGACUAGAGAGAAAGAGAAAAAUGGCAGUAGAGGAUGAUAAGGUAAAGAGAACUCGAGAUCUGCUUCUAUUCACAGGAUGCUUCUCAGACUUCUGCUCCCACCAACACCACAUCAAGAUUCGCCACUCUCGACACUAUCAACACCACCUCCUUCGAUGCCGAUCAGUACAUGAACCUUCUUGUACACCCUCUCAUCUCAUCUUAAAUAUUUGAUUAAAUAAAAACUUCUCCCUCUCUUUUAUCUCUUAAUGUUGUAUCAAAAUCUGGGUUAUAUUCUAUUACAAUUUAAUUGAGGUAAAUUGUUUCUCUC